AUCCCUUUAAACUAAUGAAUAAGGAAAAUAACGAGCUGGGGUGACGCCUGGUUCCUCACUACUCUUGUGAGAUGAAUUUUUGAGCGGGCAGAGGUCACUCCCAGGAGGAUCCGCCUACCUCGUGGGACCUUCGGGUGCAGUGAUCUACCCG
rfam:Xenopus laevis strain J chromosome 4S, whole genome shotgun sequence.